rnacentral:rRNA from 1 species
GGCAGCAUGGUCUUAGCUUGCUAAGGCUGAUGGCGACCGGCGCACGGGUGAGUAACACGUAUCCAACCUGCCGUCUACUCUUGGCCAGCCUUCUGAAAGGAAGAUUAAUCCAGGAUGGCAUCAUGAGUUCACAUGUCCGCAUGAUUAAAGGUAUUUUCCGGUAGACGAUGGGGAUGCGUUCCAUUAGAUAGUAGGCGGGGUAACGGCCCACCUAGUCAACGAUGGAUAGGGGUUCUGAGAGGAAGGUCCCCCACAUUGGAACUGAGACACGGUCCAAACUCCUACGGGAGGCAGCAGUGAGGAAUAUUGGUCAAUGGGCGAUGGCCUGAACCAGCCAAGUAGCGUGAAGGAUGACUGCCCUAUGGGUUGUAAACUUCUUUUAUAAAGGAAUAAAGUCGGGUAUGCAUACCCGUUUGCAUGUACUUUAUGAAUAAGGAUCGGCUAACUCCGUGCCAGCAGCCGCGGUAAUACGGAGGAUCCGAGCGUUAUCCGGAUUUAUUGGGUUUAAAGGGAGCGUAGAUGGAUGUUUAAGUCAGUUGUGAAAGUUUGCGGCUCAACCGUAAAAUUGCAGCUGAUACUGGAUGUCUUGAGUGCAGUUGAGGCAGGCGGAAUUCGUGGUGUAGCGGUGAAAUGCUUAGAUAUCACGAAGAACUCCGAUUGCGAAGGCAGCCU